CCUACGGGGGGCAGCAGCUAGGAAUCUUGCGCAAUGGACGAAAGUCUGACGCAGCGACGCCGCGUGCGGGAUGAAGGCCUUAGGGUCGUAAACCGCUUUCAGCAGGGACGCGGUACCUGCAGAAGAAGCCCCGGCCAACUACGUGCCAGCAGCCGCGGUAAUACGUAGGGGGCGAGCGUUGUCCGGAUUUAUUGGGCGUAAAGAGCUCGUAGGCGGUUUGGUAAGUUGGAUGUGAAAUCUCCAGGCUCAACUUGGAGGGGUCAUUCGAUACUGCCAGACUAGAGUUCGGUAGGGGAGUGUGGAAUUCCUGGUGGAGCGGUGAAAUGCGCAGAUAUCAGGAGGAACACCCGUAGCGAAGGCGGCACUCUGGGCCGGACUGACGCUGAGGAGCGAAAGCGUGGGGAGCGAACAGGAUUAGAUACCCUUGUAGUC
rnacentral:rRNA from 1 species